rnacentral:rRNA from 1 species
UACGUAGGUGGCAAGCGUUAUCCGGAAUUACUGGGUGUAAAGGGAGCGCAGGCGGGAUAGCAAGUCAGUUGUGAAAACUAUGGGCUCAACCCAUAGAUUGCAGUUGAAACUGUUAUUCUUGAGUGGAGUAGAGGCAAGCGGAAUUCCGAGUGUAGCGGUGAAAUGCGUAGAUAUUCGGAGGAACACCAGUGGCGAAGGCGGCUUGCUGGGCUCUAACUGACGCUGAGGCUCGAAAGUGUGGGGAGCAAACAGGAUUAGAUACCCAGCGGCUGACUGACU